rnacentral:rRNA from 1 species
UACAGAGGUCUCAAGCGUUGUUCGGAUUCAUUGGGCGUAAAGGGUGCGUAGGCGGCGCGGUAAGUCGGGUGUGAAAUCUCGGAGCUUAACUUCGAAACUGCAUUCGAUACUGCCGUGCUUGAGGACUGGAGAGGAGACUGGAAUUCACGGUGUAGCAGUGAAAUGCGUAGAUAUCGUGAGGAAGACCAGUGGCGAAGGCGGAUCUCUGGACAGUUCCUGACGCUGAGGCGCGAAGGCCAGGGGAGCAAACGGG